CAAGGGGACCAUAGGUUAAAGCAAGGGUCGCUGUAAAAUCACAGACUUGCGACUUAAACCAGGCUCUUUGCCAGUUGACCCAUUUGUAUAAUUCACCAGACCAUGGUCUCAUUACAACAGACACUUGAAACUACAAAAUCAGGAAAUUGCUGAAAUGUAAAAUGUAUUUUAAUGCGAGAACUGAAUUUCCUACUUGGAGCAAUAAAGUGUAUCUACCAUUUUUUUAAAUUAUUGCUCUUUGCUAGUUGACUCAUUUGUAUGAUUCACAGGACCAUGGUCUCGUCAAAAUGAUGUAAUGAUAAUGAAUAUUCAUUGGCACAGACACUUAAAACUACAAAAAUCAGGAAACUGCUGAAAUGACACCACAGCUAGAGCAACUUCUAGAUAGCAUAUAUAGCUUUCAGUCGAUGGUGGGUGGGAGGUGGGACCUGGGAUUUGACUGCAGCGAAUAAUUUUCAAAAAUUUAGGAGGGUGGGACCCUGGGCCAACCCACUACUUCAUAUAACAUUUGAACUAUUAUGUUGUUUCACUAAGACUAAUUUGAAUAUCAAACAAAAAGGUUUUUACUACAGUUUCUACAACCUAUAAUACGUUAAUUGCAUUGCAUAAAUUCUAUAGUUAACCUUCAGAGAACUUAAUUUUAAUAAAUGGCCUAAUUAAGUAUCUUAUUUAUUUGUAUACUUAUGUAUGUGAGUAUGUGUUCCGUGUUUUUUGAUCCAAUGACCGGGAUAGUAAUGUGAAGCGCUUAGAGGCUUGGUGCAUGAAGCGCUAUAUAAGACCGACAUAUUAUUAUUAUUAUUUUUGGUUAAAAUGUACGUAAUAUUAUUACGUUAGCUUGAUCGUAUACUGUAAGGCAAUCAGUUACACUUACAUCUUUAUCGUUUACAUAAGCAGAACUAGAGCCUCUCACCUUAAAUAGUGCCUACCCCUACUCAACAAUCAAUACACAAUUUA